rnacentral:rRNA from 1 species
CAGCCGCCGCGGGAAUACGUAGGUCCCGAGCGUUGUCCGGAUUUAUUGGGCGUAAAGCGAGCGCAGGCGGUUAGAUAAGUCUGAAGUUAAAGGCUGUGGCUUAACCAUAGUACGCUUUGGAAACUGUUUAACUUGAGUGCAGAAGGGGAGAGUGGAAUUCCAUGUGUAGCGGUGAAAUGCGUAGAUAUAUGGAGGAACACCGGUGGCGAAAGCGGCUCUCUGGUCUGUAACUGACGCUGAGGCUCGAAAGCGUGGGGAGCGAACAGGAUUAGAGACCCCGGUAGUCCCUGUCUCUUAUACA